rnacentral:lncRNA from 1 species
GUUUUGCUGAGUCAGAUUCUGAUCCUUUUGGUUCUGCUUCCUGUAAUCAAGCCCCAUCAGUCUCACCUGCUCGCUGCCACAUGCAGUAUGGACGGCUGCUUUGACUAACUGCUGCUAGUUCCCUCAAUCUGCCAGUCAUUUCAGCCUUUUAAAGAAGUUUUCCUGUUUCAUGCUUGGAUUUCAACAGUUUCGCCUCCAUCUGGUUCUUCUUGACUCUAAAGGCCGUUACCAAACAAACACAGAUGUGAACCUCCAGCUGUUCCGGCAGGUAUACGAUCAGAGAUUUAUCUCUCUUCUCCUCCAUGCAGCCAACACCAUUGAUAUUUUUUAUGAAACAAGUCAUAUUUAAUUGAACGUGUCAAUACCAGUAUACAGCUAUGUCUUGUCUAAAUGAUUCUUGGCAGAGUUGUUGAAGGCGUCUGCAGUCAGAGACCGGCUGAAGGGAAAGACUUCAUCCUGCUGUGUCUGUGGAUGAAGAGAGCAACUGCCGAAAACAAGAUAGAGGAUGACUCCAGUGAUGUAGCAGCAACUUUUGGAACAGACGUGGGCUUGCUUAACAGGGAAAACAGCUUUUCGCUGGGGCUAGGGCAUGUGUCCAGCCGGCGCUCUGACAACAAGAGGCUGUGUCACCUUGCCAGCCACCUGUAACCGGUGACCAACCGAGAGUUGGGAGAGGCUUGAUCAUGUCACACACCUCGUUGCCGCGGCCGAGCAAGCGUGAAGAGCGACCGGGGAGGGGGGGUCAAGAGCGAGGAAGCCUGUGGAAAAACAAG